UUGGGCGUAAAGCGCAGGUAGGCGGUUUGAUUAGUCAGAUGUCAAAGACCAGGGCUCAACCCUGGGAAGGCAUUUGAAACGGUCAGACUAGAGAAUGUAAGAGAUUGCUGGAAUUCAUGGUGUAGUAGUGAAAUGCGUUGAUAUCAUGAGGAACACUCAAGGCGAAGGCAAGCAAUUGGUGCAUUUCUGACGCUGAGCUGCGAAAGCGUGGGGAGCGAACGGGAUUAGAUACCCCGGUAGUCCACGCCGUAAACGAUGCUUACUAGGUGUAGGGAGAAUCGACCCUUUCUGUGCCGUAGCUAACGCGUUAAGUAAGCCGCCUGGGAAGUACGAGCGCAAGCUUAAAACUCAAAGGAAUAGACGGGGAUCCGCACAAGUGGUGGAGCAUGUGGUUUAAUUCGAUACUAAGCGAAACACCUCACCAAGGUUUGAAAUCUAGCUGCAGAGCCCAGAAAUGGGAUGUCCUUCGAGGGUGCUAGACCAGGUGCUGCAUGGUCGUCGUCAGCUCGUGUCGUAAGAUGUUCCGUUAAGUCGGGAAACGAGCGCAACCCCUGUGGAGUGUUAGAUAUGUCACUCCAGACUGCCCUCUCAUUUGAACGCAAGCGAAAGUUUGUAGGCAAGUGAGAGGGA
rnacentral:rRNA from 1 species